rnacentral:antisense_RNA from 1 species
CGAAGUGGUCGCCGUCGGCCAGCGUGCCCAGCACGGCGUCGUCGCCGUACUUGCCGGUGCCGACCUUCUCGACCCGGCCGUGCACGAUCAGGUACAGCUCGUCGGCGGCGGAGCCGGCCCGCACGAUGGUGUCGCCGGCGGCGAAGUGGCGCUGGGUGAAGCGGCCGGCCAGCGCGGCCAGCACGUCGGCGUCGUCGAAACCGCGCAGCGGGGCCAGUUCGCCGAGUUCGGCGGGAAUCACCCGCACGUCG